AGUAUUUUGACUAUACAAAGGUAUUGAAAUAAGACUUUAAUUGAGUGCUAAGAGAAUGGAAUUUCAUAAAAUUUCUUUUUUAAUUUUAAAAAUUGAAAUUAAUUUUAUAUGUGAAGAAACAAUAAUAAAAAUUAAGGACAAGAAGACCCUAAGAAUUUUAAAAAUUUCAAUAUAAUAUAAUAUUAUAUUGAAAUUUUUUAAUUGGGGCGAUUAUUAAAUAUUAAAAACUUUAAUUUUUUUUAAAAAAGAACCAAUAUUAUUGGUUAUUUGAGAAAAUACUCUAGGGAUAACAGCGUAAUAAUUUUUGAUAGUUCUUAUAGACAAAAUAGUUUGCGACCUCGAUGUUGGAUUAGGAUUCUUUUUUAAUGAAGAAGUUAAAAAAAGAAGUUUGUUCAACUUUUAAAAUCCUA
rnacentral:rRNA from 1 species